AGUGAAGCUGCAGUGGUCCACACGACUCCCUGAGUUUCGCCAUGCCGCCCAAAGACGACAAGAAGAAGAAAAAUGUCAGAAAGUCGGCCAAAAAGGACAAAGACCCAGUAAAUAAAUCUGGCGCCAAGGCUAAGAAGUGGUCCAAAAGCAAAGUUCGGGACAAGUUGGACAAUCUUGUCCUGUUUGACAAUCUCUGUAAGGAAGUUUCCAACUAUAAGCUUAUUACUCCAUCCAUGGUCUCCGAGAGACUGAAGAUUCCCGGGUCCUUGGCCAGGGCAGCCCUCCAGAAGCUCCUUAGUAAAGGACUUAUCAAGCUGGUUUCAAAGCACAGAGCUCAAAUGAUUUAUACCAGAAACACAAAGGGUGGAGACGCCCCAGCUGCUGGUGAAGAACAGGUUCAAUCAGCUGUGCAUUUGAGAAAAUAAAACUUUAUUGAAUCAAA